AUACGGAGGAUGCAAGCGUUAUCCGGAUUUAUUGGGUUUAAAGGGUGCGUAGGCGGUUUGCUAAGCGGGAGGUGAAAUGCCGGCGCUCAACGUCGGAAGUGCCUCCCGAACUGGUGGACUUGAAUGACUCUGCCGUGGGAGGAAUGUGUAGUGUAGCGGGGAAAUGCUUAGAGAUUACACAGAACACCGAUUGCGAAGGCAUCUCACGAAGGGUUGAUUGACGCUGAGGCACGAAAGCGUGGGGAUCAAACAGGAUUAGAUACCCUGGUAGUCCACGCAGUAAACGAUGAUGGCUAACCGCUGGUUUAUUCGGAUCAGUGGCCAAGCGAAAGCGAUAAGCCAUCCACCUGGGGAGUACGACCGCAAGGUUGAAACUCAAAUGAAUUGGCGGGG
rnacentral:rRNA from 1 species